rnacentral:rRNA from 2 species
CUAAGAAUAUUCCGCAAUGGACGAAAGUCUGACGGAGCGACGCCGCGUGGAUGAAGAAGGCCGAAAGGUUGUAAAGUUCUUUUGUUGGGGAAGAAUAACCAUGGGAGGGAAUGCCCGUGGGAUGACAUGAACCGACGAAUAAGCCCGGGCUAACUACGUGCGAGCAGCCGCGGUAACACGGAGGGGGCGAGCGUUGUUCGGAAUUACUGGGCGUAAAGGGCAUGUAGGCGGUCUUGUAAGCUUGGCGUGAAAGACCACGGCUCAACCGUGGGAUUGCGUUGAGAACUGCGAGGCUUGAGUGACGGAGAGGGAGCUAGAAUUCCUGGUGUAGGGGUGGAAUCUGUAGAGAUCAGGAAGAAUACCAAUGGCGAAGGCAAGCUCCUGGCCGAUGACUGACGCUGAGGUGCGAAAGUGUGGGGAUCAAACAGG